UGAACCUGCUGCUGGAUCAUUAC
rnacentral:rRNA from 1 species